rnacentral:rRNA from 1 species
CCUACGGGGGGCUGCAGUGGGGAAUAUUGCACAAUGGGCGAAAGCCUGAUGCAGCAACGCCGCGUGCGGGAUGACGGCCUUCGGGUUGUAAACCGCUUUCACCAGGGGCGAAUGUAGACGGUACCUGGGGAAGAAGCACCGGCUAACUACGUGCCAGCAGCCGCGGUGAUACGUAGGGUGCGAGCGUUGUCCGGAUUUAUUGGGCGUAAAGGGCUCGUAGGUGGUUUGUUGCGUCGGAAGUGAAAACCUGCAGCUUAACUGUGGGCUUGCUUUCGAUACGGGCAGACUUGAGGAAGGUAGGGGAGAACGGAAUUCCUGGUGGAGCGGUGGAAUGCGCAGAUAUCAGGAGGAACACCGGUGGCGAAGGCGGUUCUCUGGACCUUUCCUGACGCUGAGGAGCGAAAGCGUGGGGAGCAAACAGGCUUAGAUACCCCAGUAGUC